AAGAGGCAGGCAGUGUCCUAACAGGAGGUAUAGCACGCACAACAGCAGCUACUCAGUGAGGCUCAGAUCCUUCACCUGUGAAAGGAGCUAUAGUGUCCAUUCAACUUUAGUUCCACGUGGCCAUCUGCCCGGCUGCAAUGCGGCCUUUGGUCUCUGCGUUUGCAGUUUCUUGUCUUACUAAUUCUAGGUCUCUAGUGUAGAAGUUAAGAACUCUUUCCUUGGCUGCCAAGGCGCAGGCAGGCGACUUGGACUCUACCAGUCAGACACAUCACCUUGAGACUCCAGGGAAGGGAUUAAAGCGGUGAUGUCAUUCUCCUGGUCCGUUUCGGCUUUCACUGCACAGUGAAAAGUCCUGGUUUCCUUAGCUCUGCACAGAAGAGAACUGACCCAGAGGAAACAGUUCCAACUUUUUCAACAGCCCAGAGGAUGAAUGUAGAAGAAAUUGGUCUGGGAAUGAGUGAAGAACAACUGGAAGAAAAAGAAGAAAGGCUGAUCUGGCGCACGGAGAGAAAGGGUGAUGGCUUCGCAGUUCCCCGGUAAGAGCCUAAGCAAUCUGAAAGUCACCCACACACACUGCACAGUUUACUUUCUUCCUUUGCUUUGAAUCACAAACCAGUUCUGCCACUGGAACCCUUGACAUCUCAGAAGGACAUGUUGCACUUUAACAAAGAAAAUCACUGUUAGCAACUUUCUCCAGAUUUUUGACAUGAACACUGGAGAAAACUCAGAACACAUGUUGAAGCCAAACCUACUCUCCACAGAAGAGAAGACCCUGUGGGAUUCAGGUCAUGGUCCCCAGAGACCUACUGCAAGAAGAUGGUAAGUAGGUCUGCCCCCUGCAGGAAGAAGGCUGUUGGAAGCCAGACUUUUAGCAGAAAGCUGCUAUCAUCUCUGAAGCCAUCUCGGGCUAUUUUCUUAUAGGUGGAACUUUUCCACCCUGACAAGAGACUUGUUUUCCUAGCAUGAUGGUUUUUUUGUUGUUGUUGUUUGUUUUGGUUCUUUUGUUUUUUGUUUGUUUUUUAGAACAUGCCUAAAUUUUAUUAUUUAAUACAAACAAACAAACAAACC
ensembl:processed_transcript